UACGAAGGUCCCAAGCGUUAUCCGGAUUUAUUGGGUUUAAAGGGUGCGUAGGCGGGCUAUUAAGUCAGUGGUGAAAGCCCCAAGCUUAACUUGGGAACUGCCAUUGAUACUGAUGGUCUUGAGUACAUUUGAGGUGGGCGGAAUGUGUCAUGUAGCGGUGAAAUGCUUAGAUAUGACACAGAACACCGAUUGCGAAGGCAGCUCACUAAACUGUAACUGACACUGAGGCACGAAAGUGUGGGUAGCAAACAGG
rnacentral:rRNA from 1 species